UACGGAGGGGGCUAGCGUUGUUCGGAAUUACUGGGCGUAAAGCGCGCGUAGGCGGCUUUGUAAGUUAGAGGUGAAAGCCCGGAAGCCUCAACUCCGGAACUGCCUUUAAGACUGCAUCGCUAGAAUUGUGGAGAUGGUGAGUGGGAAUUCCGUGAAGUCGUAGAGGUAGGUAAAUUCGAUUAGAAUGAUUCGGUAAACGGAAAGCAA
rnacentral:rRNA from 1 species